rnacentral:rRNA from 1 species
CCAAUAGCGUAUAUUAAAGUUGUUGCAGUUAAAAAGCUCGUAGUUGAAUUUCGGGAUCAAUAUAUUGGUCGUGCCUUUGGUAUGCACUGGUAUCAUUGAUUUCUACCUUCUGAUGAACUAUGAUGUCAUUAAUUUGGUGUCAUGGGGAAUCAGGACUGUUACUUUGAAAAAAUUAGAGUGUUUAAAGCAGGCACACGCUUGAAUACAUUAGCAUGGAAUAAUGAAAUAGGACGUUUGACCCUAUUUUGUUGGUUUCUAGGAUCGACGUAAUGAUUAAUAGGGAUAGUUGGGGGCAUUAGUAUUCAAUUGUCAGAGGUGAAAUUCUUGGAUUUAUUGAAGACUAACUACUGCGAAAGCAUUCGCCAAGGAUGUUUUCAUUAAUCAAGAACGAAAGUUAGGGGAUCGAAGACGAUCAGAUACCGUCGUAGUCUUAACCAUAAACUAUGCCGACUAGGGAUCGGAUGAUGUUAAUUUUAUAAUGACUCAUUCGGCGCCUUACG